CCUUGUACACACCGCCCGUCACACCAUGGGAGUUGGUUCUACCUGAAGACGGUACGCUAACCGCAAGGAGGCAGCCGGCCACGGUAGGGUCAGCGACUGGGGUG
rnacentral:rRNA from 1 species